AGUGUUGCAACCCGUCAGGAUGCUCUCGAUGGUGCAGCUGUAGAACCUUUUGAGGAUCUGAGUACCCAUACCAAAUCUUAGAAAUACAGCUAAACCUAGGGUAUGGCUAAAUGGGGUGUGUAGAAAUACAUGUGGGGGUCAGGGAGAGAGUAGAGUUAUGUACUAGACUGGUGGGGGUCAGGGAGAGAUUAAGUUAUAUACUAGACUGGUGGGGGUCAGGGAGAGAGUUGAGUUAUGUACUAGACUGGUGGGGGUCAGGGAGAGAGUUAUGUUCUAGACUGGUGGGGGUCAGGGAGAGAGUUGAAUUAUGUACUAGACUGGUGGGGGUCAGGGAGAGAGUUGAGUUAUAUACUAGACUGGUGGGGGUCAGGGAGAGAGUUGAGUUGAGUUAUGUACUAGACUGGUGUGGGUCAGGGAGAGAGUUGAGUUAUGUACUAGACUGGUGGGGGUCAGGGAGAGAGUUAAGUUAUAUACUAGACUGGUGGGGGUCAGGGAGAGAGUUGAGUUAUGUACUAGACUGGUGGGGGUCAGGGAGAGAGUUAUGUUCUAGACUGGUGGGGGUCAGGGAGAGAGGCGAGUUAUGUACUAGACUGGUUGGGGUCAGGGAGAGAGUUAUGUACUAGACUGGUGGGGGUCAGGGAGAGAGUUGAGUUAUGUACUAGACUGGUUGGGGUCAGGGAGAGAGUUGAGUUAUGUACUAGACUGGUGGGGGUCAGGGAGAGAGUUGAGUUAUGUACUAGACUGGUUGGGGUCAGGGAGAGAGUUGAGUUAUGUACUAGACUGGUGGGGGUCAGGGAGAGAGUUGAGUUAUGUACUAGACUGGUUGGGGUCAGGGCGAGAGUUGAGUUAUGUACUAGACCGGUGGUGGUCGGGGAGAGAGUUGAGUUAUGUUCUAGACUGGUGGGGGUCAGGGAGAGAGUUGAGUUAUGUACUAGACUGGUGGGGGUCAGGGAGAGAGUUAUGUACUAGACUGGUGGGGGUCAGGGAGAGAGUUGAGUUAUGUUCUAGACUGGUGGGGGUCAGCGAGAGAGGUGAGUUAUGUACUAGACUGGUGGGGGUCAGGGAGAGAGUUAUUUUCUAGACUGGUGGGGGUCAGGGAGAGAGUUGAGUUAUGUACUAGACUGGUGUGGGUCAGGGAGAGAGUUGAGUUAUGUACUAGACUGGUGGGGGUCAGGGAGAGAGUUGAGUUAUAUACUAGACUGGUGGGGGUCAGGGAGAGAAUUGAGUUAUGUUCUAGACUGGUGGGGGUCAGGGAGAGAGGUGAGUUAUGGACUAGACUGGUUGGGGUCAGGGAGAGAGUUGAGUUAUGUACUAGACUGGUGGGGGUCAUGGAGAGAGUUGAGUUAUGUACUAGACUGGUGGGGGUCAGGGAGAGAGUUGAGUUAUGUACUAGACUGGUGGGGGUCAGGGAGAGAGUUGAGUUAUGUUCUAGACUGGUGGGGGUCAGGGAGAGAGUUAUGUACUAGACUGGUGGGGGUCAGGGAGAGAGUUGAAUUAUGUUCUAGACUGGUGGGGGUCAGGGAGAGAGUUGAGUUAUGUUCUAGACUGGUGGGGGUCAGGGAGAGAGUUUAGUUAUGUACUAGAGUUGUGGGUGUCAGGGAGAGAGUUGAGUUAUGUUCUAGACUGGUGGGGGACAGGGAGAGAGUUUAGUUAUGUACUAGACUGGUGUGGGUCAGGGAGAGAGUUGAGUUAUGUACUAGAC
rnacentral:lncRNA from 1 species